GAUGAACGCUGGCGGCGUGCUUAACACAUGCAAGUCGAACGGAAAGGCCCAAGCUUGCUUGGGUACUCGAGUGGCGAACGGGUGAGUAACACGUGGGUGAUCUGUCCUGCACUUCGGGAUAAGCCUGGGAAACUGGGUCUAAUACCGGAUAGGACCACAUUUUGGAUGGUGUGGUGGAAAGUUUUUCGGUGUGGGAUGAGCUCGCGGCCUAUCAGCUUGUUGGUGGGGUAAUGGCCUACCAAGGCGUCGACGGGUAGCCGGCCUGGGAGGGUGUACGGCCACAUUGGGACCGAGAGACGGCCCAGACUCCUACGGGAGGCAGCAGUGGGGAAUAUUGCACAAUGGGCGCAAGCCUGAUGCAGCGACGCCGCGUGGGGGAUGACGGCCUUCGGGUUGUAAACUCCUUUCGCUAGGGACGAAGCGUUAUGUGACGGUACCUGGAGAAGAAGCACCGGCUAACUACGUG
rnacentral:rRNA from 1 species